rnacentral:rRNA from 1 species
UAGUCGAGCGGUAACAGGACUAGNUUGCUAGGNGCUGACGAGCGGCGGACGGGUGCGUAACACGUAGGAAUCUGCCCGGUAGUGGGGGAUAGCCCGGAGAAAUCCGGAUUAAUACCGCAUACGCCUUACGAGGGAAAGGAGGGGACUCUUCGGAGCCUUUCGCUAUCGGAUGAGCCUGCGUCGGAUUAGCUAGUUGGUGGGGUAAAGGCCUACCAAGGCGACGAUCCGUAGCUGGUCUGAGAGGAUGAUCAGCCACACUGGGACUGAGACACGGCCCAGACUCCUACGGGAGGCAGCAGUGGGGAAUAUUGCACAAUGGGGGAAACCCUGAUGCAGCCAUGCCGCGUGUGUGAAGAAGGCUCUAGGGUUGUAAAGCACUUUCAGCGAGGAGGAAAGGUUGCUGGUUAAUAUCCAGCGGCUGUGACGUUACUUGCAGAAGAAGCACCGGCUAACUCCGUGCCAGCAGCCGCGGUAAUACGGAGGGUGCGAGCGUUAAUCGGAAUUACUGGGCGUAAAGCGUGCGUAGGCGGCCAUGUAAGUUGGAUGUGAAAGCCCCG